ensembl:miRNA
GGGAGGUUGAGGCUGCAGUGAGUUGUGAUCACACCACUGCACUCCAGCCUGAGUGACAGAGCAAGACCUUGUCUC